CCCCUAGAUGUUCGGGGCCGCACGCGCGCUACACUGAAGGAAUCAGCACGUCUUUCUCCUUGUCCGAAAGGACUGGGUAACCCGCUGAACCUCCUUCGUGCUAGGGAUUGGGGCUUGUAAUUCUUCCCCAUGAACGAGGAAUUCCCAGUAAGCGCGAGUCAUAAGCUCGCGUUGAUUACGUCCCUGCCCUUUGUACACACCGCCCGUCGCUACUACCGAUUGGAUGGUUUAGUGAGAUCCUCGGAUUGGUCCCGGAGCGGCCUCUGGUCGUGCCGGAGUGCCGAAAAGAAUGUCGAACUUGAUCAUCUAGAGGAAGUAAAAGUCGUAACA
rnacentral:rRNA from 1 species